CAGCACCUCAAGUGGUCAGGAUGAUUAUUGGGCCUAAAGCAUCCGUAGCCGGCGCUGUAAGUUUUCGGUUAAAUCUGUACGCUCAACCUACAGGCUGCCGGGAAUACUGCAGCGCUAGGGAGUGGGAGAGGUAGACGGUACUCGGUAGGAAGGGGUAAAAUCCUUUGAUCUAUUGAUGACCACCUGUGGCGAAGGCGGUCUACCAGAACACGUCCGACGGUGAGGGAUGAAAGCUGGGGGAGCAAACCGGAUUAGAUACCCGCGUAGUCC
rnacentral:rRNA from 1 species